rnacentral:tRNA from 13 species
GCGGAAGUAGUUCAGCGGUAGAAUACAACCUUGCCAAGGUUGGGGUCGCGGGUUCGAAUCCCGUCUUCCGCUCCA